rnacentral:rRNA from 1 species
UUCCGGUUGAUCCCGCCGGAGGCCAUUGCUAUCGGAGUCCGAUUUAGCCAUGCUAGUCGAGCGAGGUUGGCCCUCGCGGCGAACAGCUCAGUAACACGUGGCCAAGCUACCCUGCAGAGGGGGACAGCGUCGGGAAACUGACGGGAAUCCCCCAUACCGGUCUCACGCUGGAAUGCCGAGACCGACAAACGCUCCGGCGCUGCAGGAUGCGGCUGCGGCCGAUUAGGUAGUCGGUGGGGUAACGGCCCACCGAGCCGAUAAUUGGUACGGGGUGUGAGAGCACGAGCCCGGAGACGGAAUCUGAGACAAGAUUCCGGGCCCUACGGGGCGCAGCAGGCGCGAAACCUUUACACUGCACGAACGUGCGAUAAGGGGACUCCGAGUGCGAGGGCAUACAGUCCUCGCUAUUGUGUACCGUAGGGUGGUACACGACCAAGAGCUGGGCAAGACCGGUGCCAGCCGCCGCGGUAAUACCGGCAGCUCGAGUGAUGGCCGAUUUUAUUGGGCCUAAAGCGUCCGUAGCUGGCCCUGCAAGUCCGUCGGGAAAUCCACUCGCCUAACGAGUGGGCGUCCGGCGGAAACUCCAGGGCUUGGGACCGGAAGACUUGAGGGGUACGUCUGGGGUAGGAGUGAAAUCCUGUAAUCCUGGACGGACCGCCGAUAGCGAAAGCACCUCAAGACGACGGAUCCGACAGUGAGGGACGAAAGCUAGGGUCUCGAACCGGAUUAGAUACCCGGGUAGUCCUAGCUGUAAACGAUGUUCGCUAGAUGUGGCACAGGCUACG